GCCGCCGCCACGACACCACGUUCAGCUCCGCUGCUUUCUUGCCUUGCAGCACCUCCAAGUUAGCGCGGUCUGCGGCCGUUUUUCCCGACCCGCCCCUCCAUCUUCCCUACUCAUUGAAAAACAUAUCAGGGAGAGAAAGAGGAGAAUCAGCAAGGAGAGAGGGGGAUCGAGAGAAUUCCCGAGCGCAGACACAUCAAGUUGCUGGACCUUGACCGCAAGAGCUCGGACGGAGCAACUGCACGUCCAAAUGGCGUUGUCUGGAUCCCACGAUUUUCUGGCAACAAGAUCGCCUAGUCCAGCCGCUGCUCCGAGGGCGUAUGGUGGUGACUCCUUUCAUUUUUUCUGCACACUAUAUUCUUCGAAUUUCAGGAAGACUUUCCACUUGCCAGAGCCGUUUUGUUUACUGAAAAUAGAUUGAAUUCUUCUAAACUCUUUUCUCUUACCGAUAUUUACCUUCUGAUUGGCACUAAUUCACGGUGCGACUAAGCUGAUCUUGCCAUUGUUCGUCUCUAAGUUUUCCAUCCAAUUUCCAUCCGAUACAUUCCUCCAGGUCGUCUUCUUCCUUAAUUCCUUUUCUUUUUAUUACACCUAUCAAUGGUUUUCCCUGCUACUUCACUCCGAUUGCACUGCCAUCCGACAGUAUUGAUUUCGGCUAUCCGAACGGCAGGUGUACAGCUCCUGCCAUACAAAUCCAAAAUGAAUAUUGUUGGGGUUUGCCGGAUAAGGAUAAGGAAAUCUUCGUUGGCCACGUCUGGCAAAAUUCAGGACUGUGUGCACCGGUUAAUGCAGUGGUUCAUUCUAUUGCAGAUAAAUUACUAGCUAUAUCCAGGGGCAAUCAAUCUAUCUACCGAUGAGAAGAUAAUUGUGUUCUAUCCUUAUCAUAGAGAUGCACUGCAACCUAUAAAUUUUAGCGGAAAACAAGAAAUCGUAUGGAUCAAUGGUCGUCUAUAUCGAUUUUCUAUGGGUGACACACUGGCUCACCUAAGGACUGUAAAUAUUAACCAGCGCUGGACAGAGAGUUCAGGUUUGGAGAUCAAAGCUACCUCUUUGUUUCCCAAUAA